rnacentral:rRNA from 1 species
AGUGGCGAACGGGUGAGUAAUACAUAAGGAACCUGCCCUCGGGACCGGGAUAGCUGAUGGAAACGUCAGGUAAUAGCGGAUGUGAGUCAUUAUGGCAUCAUGAUGACUUGAAAGGAUGCAGCAAUGCAUCGCGCGGGGAUGGCCUUAUGGCGCAUUAGCCAGUUGGCGGGGUAACGGCCCACCAAAGCGAUGAUGCGUAGCCGAUCUGAGAGGACGACCGGCCACAUUGGGACUGAGACACGGCCCAGACUCCUACGGGAGGCAGCAGUAGGGAAUUUUCGGCAAUGGGCGCAAGCCUGACCGAGCAACGCCGCGUGAGUGUUAAGGCCUUCGGGUUGUAAAGCUCUGUUGCCGGGGACGAACGGUACUUAUAGGAAAUGAUAAGUAAGUGACGGUACCCGGCGAGAAAGCCACGGCUAACUACGUGCCAGCAGCCGCGGUAAUACGUAGGUGGCGAGCGUUAUCCGGAUUUAUUGGGCGUAAAGGGUGCGUAGGCGGCGAAUUAAGUCUAAAUUGAAAGCGUGGGGCUCAACUCCAUGAUGGUUUAGAAACUGGUUUGCUGGAGUGCAGGAGAGGUUAGCGGAAUUCCAUGUGUAGCGGUAAAAUGCGUAGAUAUAUGGAGGAACACCAGUGGCGAAGGCGGCUAACUGGCCUGUAACUGACGCUGAGGCACGAAAGCGUGGGGAGCGAAUAGGAUUAGAUACCCUAGUAGUCCACGCA